rnacentral:snRNA from 1 species
GUGCUCAUUUCAGCAGCACAUACACUAAAAUUGGGACAAUACAGAAAAAAUUAGCAUGGCCCUUGUGCAAGGAUGACACGCAAAUUUAUGAAGCAUUUCAUAAUUUU